rnacentral:rRNA from 1 species
GAUGAACGCUAGCUACAGGCUUAACACAUGCAAGUCGCGGGGCAGCAUGAAUUUAGCUUGCUAAAUUUGAUGGCGACCGGCGCACGGGUGAGUAACGCGUAUCCAACCUUCCCCUGUCCACGGGAUAGCCCGUCGAAAGGCGGAUUAAUACCGUAUGAGGUCACACGAUGGCAUCAGACUGUGACGAAAGGUUUGGCGGACAGGGAUGGGGAUGCGUCCGAUUAGGUAGUCGGCGGGGUAACGGCCCACCGAGCCGACGAUCGGUAGGGGUUCUGAGAGGAAGGUCCCCCACAUUGGAACUGAGACACGGUCCAAACUCCUACGGGAGGCAGCAGUGAGGAAUAUGGUUCAAUGGGCGAGAG